AUUGAACGCUGGCGGCAUGCUUUACACAUGCAAGUCGAACGGUAACAGGCCGCAAGGUGCUGACGAGUGGCGAACGGGUGAGUAAUGCAUCGGAACGUGCCCAGUCGUGGGGGGUAACGCAGCGAAAGCUGUGCUAAUACCGCAUACGAUCUAUGGAUGAAAGCGGGGGACCGUAAGGCCUCGCGCGAUUGGAGCGGCCGAUGUCGGAUUAGGUAGUUGGUGGGGUAAAGGCCUACCAAGCCGACGAUCUGUAGCUGGUCUGAGAGGACGACCAGCCACACUGGGACUGAGACACGGCCCAGACUCCUACGGGAGGCAGCAGUGGGGAAUUUUGGACAAUGGGCGCAAGCCUGAUCCAGCAAUGCCGCGUGCAGGAAGAAGGCCUUCGGGUUGUAAACUGCUUUUGUACGGAACGAAACGGUCUGGGUUAAUACCCUGGGCUAAUGACGGUACCGUAAGAAUAAGCACCGGCUAACUACGUGCCAGCAGCCGCCGUAA
rnacentral:rRNA from 1 species